CGGGCUGUAGCGCAGUUUGGCUAGCGCGCCGCGUUUGGGUCGCGGAGGUCGCCGGUUCGAAUCCGGCCAGCCCGACUA
rnacentral:tRNA from 1 species